rnacentral:rRNA from 1 species
GAUGAACGCUGGCGGCGUGCUUAACACAUGCAAGUCGAACGGAAAGGCCCAAGCUUGCUUGGGUACUCGAGUGGCGAACGGGUGAGUAACACGUGGGUGAUCUGCCCUGCACUUCGGGAUAAGCCUGGGAAACUGGUCUAAUACCGGAUAGGACGAUGGUUUGGCUGCCAUUGUGGAAAGUUUUUUCGGUGUGGGAUGAGCUCGCGGCCUAUCAGCUUGUUGGUGGGGUAAUGGCCUACCAAGGCGUCGACGGGUAGCCGGCCUGAGAGGGUGUACGGCCACAUUGGGACUGAGAUACGGCCCAGACUCCUACGGGAGGCAGCAGUGGGGAAUAUUGCACAAUGGGCGCAAGCCUGAUGCAGCGACGCCGCGUGGGGGAUGACGGCCUUCGGGUUGUAAACUCCUUUCGCUAGGGACGAAGCGUUUUUGUGACGGUACCUGGAGAAGAAGCACCGGCUAACUACGUG